rnacentral:rRNA from 1 species
AUUGAACGCUGGCGGCAGGCCUAACACAUGCAAGUCGAGCGGAGUGGCGGACGGGUGAGUACUGCUUAGGAAUCUGCCUGGUAGUGGGGGAUAACGUCCGGAAACGGGCGCUAAUCCCGCAUACUCUCAGAUGAGCCUAGGUCGGAUUCGCUAGUGGGUGGGGUAAAGGUCUACCAAGGCGACGAGCCGUAACUGGUCUGAGAGGAUGAUCAGUCACACUGAAACUGAGACACGGUCCAGACUACUACGGGAGGCGGCAGUGGGGAAUAUUGGACAAUGGGCGAAAGACUGAUCCAGCCAUGCCGCGUGUGUGAAGAAGGUCUUCGGAUUGUAAAGCACGUUAAGUUGGGAGGCGUUACCAACAGAAUAAGCACCGGCUAACUUCGUGCCAGCCGCCGCGGUAAUAC